GCUGCACAGUUUAUUGGAAAGGGGGAGGGGGCACAGAUGGAGGGAGAGGGGGGGGGGAACAGCACCUCCUGGGUGGGAGGGGGAAGCCCCCCCCCCCAUGAGCGCCGCUCACUUCUCCUUGUGCUGAAUGAGGCCUUUGGCCACGAGGUCGGGGAUCUCCACCGCCAGCCACGGACCCAACCCCAACGCCAUGAGGUGCGCCAAACCAAACUUGGGAACGUUGCGGGCCCACAGGGGCUUGAAGUGGUCGCUGAGGCAAAUUUUGCCCCCUCUGUACAUCUUGGCUGUUUUCCCAUCCAGCUCCGGGAUGGCGAUCUCAGGAGCAGUGUUGGGGUACGUCACCGGGAUCUCAAACUCAAUGGCAAAUUCAUACUUGAGCAGCUCAUGGAUGUGCCAACAGCGCCCGGACCACCGCGUGCCCUCCGCGUUGGACUCGAGCCGGAACCAGUCAUUGUCAGAGGCCUUGUUGUGCUCCACGUACUGAAUGAGCGCGCGGUACUCCUCCUUGAGGCGCUCGGCCCAACGCUCCCGGUCCCGCGGCCCCGCCGCCGUCCGCAGCAGCGGCACCGCCGCCACCGCCCGCCGCGCCGCCUCCUCCGCCAUCGCGGGGUCCGGAAGCGGCGCUGUCCCGGGAGGGCGGGGAUGGCCACGCCGCCAUCUUGGCGCGGGGCGGAAAUGACGCGGAAGGGGCGGGAGCAGAAGAGCGCCGCCAUGUUGGAGAGGGGCGCGGACGCGAGGGGACGGAAGCGCCGCCAUCUUGGUGAAGGGCUAGAGGGCGCCGCUGCCGCCGCCAUGUUUACUGCGGGUUGCCUGAGGAUCCGCCAUCUUUAGUGCUGGCAGCGCUCAAUGUCAGCUCUCCGCUGCAAAUCGUUUCUUUCCCCCAUUUCUUUUCCCUUUUCCCUCUUUUUUUUUCUCUUUUUUCUCUUUAUUUUCCAUUUCCCACCUUUUUUUCCUCUUCUUUCUCCCGUUUUCCCCUCCUUUUUCCUUUUUUUUUCUCUCACCCCUUAUUUUUCCAAUUUGUUCCCCUUUCCCCCCCUUUUUACUCCUUAUUUCCCCCCUUUAUUUCCUUUAUUUCCCAUUUUCUCUUCUUUCAUUUUCC
rnacentral:lncRNA from 1 species